AUUGAACGCUGGCGGCAGGCCUAACACAUGCAAGUCGAACGCGUGGCGGACGGGUGAGUAAUGUCUGGGAAACUGUCCGAUGGAGGGGGAUAACUACUGGAAACGGUAGCUAAUACCGCAUACCAUCGGAUGUGCCCAGAUGGGAUGAGCUAGUAGGUGGGGUAACGGCUCACCUAGGCGACGAUCCCUAGCUGGUCUGAGAGGAUGACCAGCAACACUGGAAUUGAGACACGGUCCAGACGCCUACGGGAGGCAGCAGUGGGGAAUAUUGGACAAUGGGCGAAAGCCUGAGGCAGCCAUGCCGCGUGUAUGAAGAAGGCCUUCGGGUUGUAAAGUACUUUCAGCGAGGAGGCGUUACGCGCAGAAGAAGCACCGGCGAACUCCGUGCCAGCCGCCGCGGUAAUUC
rnacentral:rRNA from 1 species